rnacentral:lncRNA from 1 species
GGGGAAUAAAGCCACUAGUUGAGCCAUGCCAAUCAAAUCCUCUCUUUUGGAAACUUGAACAAAGACAUAGAGAUUACAAUGAGAAUUUGAAGGACGCUGUAUAAGAUACUAGACUGACAGCCGUGCAUGGUCAUGAGCAGCCCAGGGAUGACCACUGGGAGAAGAGAAGGCGGAGAGCAGCAGAGAUCACAGAAAUCAUGAGGCCCUGAAAAGUGAAGAUCCCGCCCUCACUUUCUCACUUUCCUGAUGCAGUCAUGUGAAAUUUGUCUUUACUUCCAUUUAUUUCCUUUCCAACUCUCAGUGUUCUGAAAUGUACCAUUACGUAAAAGUGACAGAAAAUGAAGAAAAAC